UCAGGUAUAGACAGUAGAUGAGAGCAUGCACAUCUAUAUGAAAGUUUCAGUUUGGUCAAUAGCAUGAAUUACAAUCCGGUGCAUAAAAAGAAUUACAAUGAAUGGUUAUUCAGAUAUGACCCUUCAAAGCUAUUGAUAUUCGUAUAGGUAAAUGGGCGACCUAAUUAUAAUUUUACUUAUAUGUUAUUAUUUCUUCACUUACGAGCUUUAUGAGCUCUUCCUAUCUAUAUGCUAGCUUAUCUGUAUCACAGUUUGUUACUAGAGCAAUUUCUGACCUGUUUGUAUAGUUUAUAUAAGUAGCUCACGCCUUAGUUUGAAUUUUGAUUGAGAAUAAGUUGGCAUAUAAUGUAUUUGGGGUUAGUUGCGCCUCUCUACUGCUGCUGCUCCCCAACCUGUUGUCCCCCUUGACUGCAGAGACAAAUAGCACAUCUCUUUCACCAUUCCCCUCAUCUCUGAUUAUUUUCAGACCUGAUUUACCUGGUUGUUACCUAGAUAUGGUUAUUGGUUGCCAAAAUCAUUGAUUGUUUGUGUUCUAGAUCAUACAUAAAUGUGGGCUCUAUCAGCUGGAUAAUACUGAACUGAUGGAUCUUCCAUUUCUCUAUCGUUUUAGGUACGUUGUUUAAGUACAGAAAGUGUUUUAAGUACAGAAAGUGGUUGGUAUUUGUUUCCUAUUUUGGUACAAGAAAAAUCUUCUAACUAAUUCUCUGUACAAUCUUGCAUGUUGUGUAUUACAUUUCAAGCAUAUAUAAUGUCAAUGAUAUACUAUGUUUUCGGGACACCAUAUUUCUUUGUAUGCCAUGCUCAAAGGCAUAUAUUAUUUCUCUGACUUGGUUUCUGACAUGGUGGAAGCAAAGUCAAGCUAGAUAUGCAUGUGUCGACGAGGUGACAAGCUAUCUCUUGGUUUAAUGCAAAUAUAUUUUCUCCUUUCCCCCCUACUAUAACUGACUCAAAAAAUACAUUCAGGCUGCCGUUGUUAAACUGAGACACCUCAUGCAAUUUAUCGGGAGGAUGAACUAUUGCCUAAAUUAUCUCGAGACCAACUUAAGUACAGGGAAUGAUCCAAGUUUCCGUUGCACACGUAAUUGAAAAUCUAUCAUGGAAUUACUGGAACUGACCAUGGGUCUUUCUUCCUAUUUUCCAACUCCAUUGGCUUGCUUAUUUCUUUGCCUUCUGCCUUACACUUCUUUCUUAGUUUGGCUCUAUCUAGCUACUAGCCAAUGCACUGAUUUAGGUUGUUUGUUCUCGCAAUGUUUUUCUCUUCUUCUAUUUACUUUUUACCUGCAUUUCUUUUGUAAUUUGAAUCUUUCUGGUGGCUUAUGCGUAGGUUUAGGUUAGUCACUCUAAUAUGUCGAUUCUCCGCAUUCUCCAGGAUGCAAUUUCUACCAGUGUUCAUGCCUAUUGGAACUGACUGAAAAUAUUAUGCUGCAGAAACCUAGGAAAGUGGCAAUGCAAGCAAUCUGAGUGAAAGAAUUCAUACCUCGAGGGUCUCAGAGGAAUGUUGUUGUGCGCAUAUCCCAGAUCCGGGAGAACAUGGAUCAAGAACAAAAUGUCUCUGAACUAGGGUUCAUUAUUGUGGAGCAAACUGGUACCUUCUGAACAUUGAGAUACUCGAUCCCUCCAUCAUUACCUACACAUGAGGUCCAUGAGUUAGCAACUUAGCAUGGCCUUAUCAUCAAAUUAUUUAUCCAUACUAACUCAUCCUUUAGAUAACGAAAACUAUAACAGCAUAUAUCAUCAAAGCUCCUUUAUAUAUCAUCGAAAACAUGGAUGAAGUGCAAAUUUUUCAACAUGGACAAUUUACUCUAGAUACUGGAUAUGAAUGGUACAGUAAAGGUACAUCUCAUUUAAUUAAAUAGUGGAUGAGCAAACUAUUUGUUUUCAUAUGUGGUAGGAUGUCUGUUAGUUCAUAUUGGAAAGAUGUAUAUAAAGGUUGAGUGUUCUACUCCGCACUUCAUAAGCUAAUCAAAGGAUGCAUACUUAUCUUUGGAAUGCUAGCUUAAUAGUUAGUGUCUUUAUGCGACCAGUGUAUUAGUAUGUCCUGAAAGAAGAGCAGAAACCACUCUUAUUUAUGAUUUUAUUGUUUUUACUCUGUAAUGUCUUGCUUGGUUUGCGAAGUAACAAAAUUCUUUAUGGUUAAAAAAAGAAUUCAUCAACUCUGUUUUUCCACACCUCGGUCUGCUUCAUAUGAAUACAGAUAAAUGGGAUACACACAGUUUUGGAUAUUUAGUUUCUCCAUUUUGUUGUUUGCUAAAUUCUGGGUUGUGAUUUUGUUGUCCAAUAAAGCGUAUACUGAUGCAUGAAAUACUUAUGCUCCAGACCAGGGUUCUUGCACAUCAGUAAGCACUAAGAAUUAUUCAUCUUGUUCUCUUCGAAGAAAAAUACCUACUUAUUUCGUGUACCUGCGUAUUACCUGCUUAUAUAUGUGCUAAAAUUACAAUGGAUUUUGUCGGCCAUUGCUGAGUGUAGUAGAGUUCUCUACAUUCUCUAAGUAUACUUGUUCGUUGACUGUUUAUCGUCGAUUCUCUAAGAUGAAUGGACAUCCCCAAAAUGGCCAUGAGAUUUUGUCUAAUCGGGUGGAUGGAACAACUGGAUGUAUUUCAUAAGUAUGGAGGGAAGAGUAAUAGCUUCUUUCAACAAGUUUGCCUAGAAUGCAAAGAUAAAGUUAGAUCCCAUGUGGAUGACGAGGCUCUAAGCUACUCCUGUUUCCACCUGGUUGAGAAGCCAACCUUACAAUUUUAUGGUCUUCUAAAGGGGUUUUUGGGCACUUGUUUAUGUCAGC